AUGCAGGUCACGAAUGAGAUAGUUCGCCUCGGUAGCGUGGCCCCUGGAAUAUUCAGGAAAACACUAGCAGACGUGCAAGUGAAAGGCUACACGAUCCCCGCUGGUUGGCUCGUGAUGAUCAGCCCCAUGGCUAUCCAUCUGAACCCAGAAUUCUAUAAAGAUCCCCUGACCUUUAAUCCAUGGAGGUGGCAGGAUGAGUCCAGGAAGAGCAUUCUACUCAAGAACUUCGCGCCAUACGGAGGUGGCGUAAGGCACUGCCUGGGAGCAGAGUUCAGCAAGGUUCAGAUCGCGGUCUUCCUCCAUACCUUGGUGACAAACUACCGAUGGAAGGAGAUAAAAGGCGGCGAAGUGCAGCGCAUAACGGAGAUCGUGUUUCCAAAGGGAUACCACAUCCAGAUACUCCCU
rnacentral:rRNA from 1 species